rnacentral:ncRNA from 2 species
AUCCCGCCUCACGAUGAUGGUGCCCUUCCAGGGUGAAACGGGAACGCGGUGCGAUGCCGCGGCUGCCCCCGCAACUGUAAGCGACGAGUCUGCGCCAACCAGCCACCGCACGAUGCCGGGAAGGCGGCGCCAGGCGAUGACGCGCGAGCCAGGAGACCGGCCAUCUCCUUCUGUCGACG